GGCGGGGCGAGGCAAGAGUGGGCGAGGCACGAAGAUCUACCCCCUAUUGGGCGGGGCCGGCGCUGUGUGACGUAUCAUGGGAGCGGAGCGAACCGUGCGUGGGCGUGGUCUGUGCGACGCUGUGGCGUACGAGGACCGAGAAAAAGGACCUGACAAAUGAUGUCCUUCUAGAAGAGUGAAGGCCUCCUGGCAAUGUUCUCUUUAACCCACGAUGUGGACUAAGAGGAGCUUUUACUAAUUAUGAGGAAAUGUGUAUGUGCUGUUCAAGUUUUUUUUUUUUUGCCUACAUUGGACCUUCAUCUUUUAUCUAUCAAAGUAUAAGAUUACUCGUGUAUAAGGCUGGCUGCAAAAUCCUUCACAAAUAAAAGUAUACCCUAUAAGUGAACAUAAUAGAAUCCCUUUUCAUUUCUAUUGUUCAUAGCGGCAUAAACAAGGAAAAAAUAUUUGAAGAUAAGAGUCUUAUGAUAGUACAAGUCUUCAUCUGUGAUCUUGGGAAAAGCUGUUCACAUCAAGGAUGCCAUCUUUUUCUGGGGAGAAACUUCCCUGGUUACUUUUACCUUAGGGAUUCCAAUGAGUGUACCAUUCCACAAGUGUGGAGGGACCCUUCUCAGUUGUUUGAUUUGGAACCCAAGCUUCCAAAGUUCUGCUGCAGUGUGGAAGACAGUCUUUCUCUGAUGUUCUCGGAAGAGUCAGUCUUCAGGUUCUAGAUUGUGAAGGGGUUGAUCGUCCUCAGUGAACCGGCUAUCCUGGGAGUGAGACUGCGUCUUUAGAAGAGGAAGAGAAACACCCUCACCAUGUGAUGUCCUGAGCCUCCUCCCCCAGGAAGGCCAUCAGCAGACACGCCCUCUUGAUUUUGGACUUGGCAGCCUCCAGGACUGUGAGAAAUAAAUUCUUUUCCUUUACUUAUUA